UACGAAGGGGGCUAGCGUUGCUCGGAAUCACUGGGCGUAAAGCGCACGUAGGCGGAUUGUUAAGUCAGGGGUGAAAUCCUGGAGCUCAACUCCAGAACUGCCUUUGAUACUGGCGAUCUUGAGUUCGGGAGAGGUGAGUGGAACUGCGAGUGUAGAGGUGAAAUUCGUAGAUAUUCGCAAGAACACCAGUGGCGAAGGCGGCUCACUGGCCCGAUACUGACGCUGAGGUGCGAAAGCGUGGGGAG
rnacentral:rRNA from 1 species